rnacentral:rRNA from 1 species
AGGACGAACGCUGGCGGUGUGCCUCAUACAUGCAAGUCGAACGAGAAAUACUUCGGGUAAUGGAAAGUGGCGGACGGGUGAGUAAUAUGUAGGAAAUCUGCCCUAGAGAGGGGGACAACAGAGGGAAACUUCUGCUAAUACCCCAUAUGAGCUUAGUUGAAAUACUAAUCUUGAAAACUCCGGUGCUCUAGGAUGAGCCUGCAUCUGAUUAGCUAGUUGGUGGUGUAAUGGACCACAAAGGCGACGAUCAGUAGCUGGUUUGAGAGGAUGAUCAGCCACAAUGGGACUGAGACACGGCCCAUACUCCUACGGGAGGCAGCAGUAGGGAAUUUUGCGCAAUGGGGGAAACCCUGAACCGCAGCAACACCGCGUGAAUGUUAAGCCCUUCGGGGUAUAAAGUUCUGUCAAUGGGGAAGAAUAAAUGACUGUACCCAUAAAGGAAGCACCGGCUAACUCCGUGCCAGCAGCCGC